UUAAUUAAGUGUACACAUAUGUGCUUCCUUU
rnacentral:piRNA from 1 species